rnacentral:rRNA from 1 species
UACGAAGGGGGCUAGCGUUGUUCGGAAUUACUGGGCGUAAAGCGCACGCAGGCGGCUCGAUAAAUUAGAAGUGAAAGCCCCGGGCUUAACCUGGGAAUUGCUUUUAAGACUGUCGGGCUAGAAUCCAGAAGAGGGUAGUGGAAUUCCGAGUGUAGAGGUGAAAUUCGUAGAUAUUCGGAAGAACACCAGCGGCGAAGGCGACUACCUGGUCUGGCAUUGACGCUCAUGUGCGAAAGCGUGGGGAGCAAACAGG